rnacentral:lncRNA from 1 species
GAAUAAUUGGACAAGAGUUGUCCACUCAUCGGUUGACCCAUCACCAAUAACUGUUAGGUGAGGUGAUGAACCAGUCGAUGAGACCACACCAUCCACUGAAAUCACUGAUCAUGGAGAUUUUCACAUCUCUACCAAGGGAGUGUAGGGAUCUGAAAAAAUAGUGGGAGCCUAAUUUGUUUAAAAAUGAAACCCCUAAAUAAAUUAGUGAAGUCUGAUUACAAAAUCUAACUAGAAACUUUUGACUCUCUACAGGAAACAUGUCUGCCUCCAACCCCCUGACCAAAAUACUAGACACCCAC